CCGGUUAAGGAAAGAAAAAAACCUGCUGUUGAGAGCUGCAGAUUUCCAAAUUAGAAGACACUUAGCAAUCAUAUGAGGUCUAUGAAAUGAGUCUCUUCUGAUCCGUUACUCUUGAGUCAAGAGUAGUUCUCGACUUAUGACCAUAAU